UUGACCUCGAAUCAGGUAGGAAUACCCGCUGAACUUAAGCAUAUCAAUAANNNNNNNNNNNNNNNNNNNNNNNNNNNNNNNNNNNNNNNNCGAGUGAAGCGGUAACAGCUCAAAUUUGAAAUCUGGCUCUUGCGGAGUCCGAGUUGUAAUUUGUAGAAGAUGCUUUGGGUUGUGGGUUCGGCCUAAGUUCCUUGGAACAGGACGUCAUAGAGGGUGAGAAUCCCGUAUGUGGCCGAGGCCCGCGCCUAUGUAAAGCUCUUUCAACGAGUCGAGUUGUUUGGGAAUGCAGCUCAAAAUGGGUGGUAAAUUUCAUCUAAAGCUAAAUAUGGGCCAGAGACCGAUAGCGCACAAGUAGAGUGAUCGAAAGAUGAAAAGCACUUUGGAAAGAGAGUUAAACAGUACGUGAAAUUGUUGAAAGGGAAGCGCUUGCAACCAGACUUGGGCGCUGCCGAUCACCUUGAGUUUUCUCGAGUGCACUCGACAGCGCACAGGCCAGCAUCGGUUCGGGUGGCUGGAUAAAGGCCGUAGGAAUGUGGCUCUCUUCGGGGAGUGUUAUAGCCUACGGUGCCAUGCAGCCCAGCCGGACCGAGGACCGCGCCUUCGGGCUAGGAUGCUGGCGUAAUGGUUGUAAGCGACCCGUCUUGAAACACGGACCAAGGAGUCUAACAUCUAUGCGAGUGUUUGGGUGGUAAACCCAUACGCGGAAUGAAAGUGAACGUAGGUGAGAACCCCUUUGGGGCGCAUCAUCGACCGAUCCUGAUGUCUUCGGAUGGAUUUGAGUAAGAGCAUAGCUGUUGGGACCCGAAAGAUGGUGAACUAUGCCUGAAUAGGGUGAAGCCAGAGGAAACUCUGGUGGAGGCUCGCAGCGGUUCUGACGUGCAAAUCGAUCGUCAAAUUUGGGCAUAGGGGCGAAAGACUAAUCGAACCAUCUAGUAGCUGGUUCCUGCCGAAGUUUCC
rnacentral:rRNA from 1 species